AGAGUUUGAUCCUGGCUCAGGACGAACGCGGGAGGCAGGCUUAACACAUGCAAGUCGAGCGGGGAAGGGUAGCUUGCUACCUGACCUAGCGGCGGACGGGUGAGUAAUGCUUAGGAAUCUGCCUAUUAGUGGGGGACAACAUUCCGAAAGGAAUGCUAAUACCGCAUACGCCCUACGGGGGAAAGCAGGGGAUCUUCGGACCUUGCGCUAAUAGAUGAGCCUAAGUCAGAUUAGCUAGUUGGUGGGGUAAAGGCCUACCAAGGCGACGAUCUGUAGCGGGUCUGAGAGGAUGAUCCGCCACGCUGGGACUGAGACACGGCCCAGACUCCUACGGGAGGCAGCAGUGGGGAAUAUUGGACAAUGGGCGAAAGCCUGAUCCAGCCAUGCCGCGUGUGUGAAGAAGGCCUUUUGGUUGUAAAGCACUUUAAGCGAGGAGGAGGCUACUUGGAUUAAUACUCUAGGAUAGUGGACGUUACUCGCAGAAUAAGCACCGGCUAACUCUGUGCCAGCAGCCGCGGUAAUACAGAGGGUGCGAGCGUUAAUCGGAUUUACUGGGCGUAAAGCGUGCGUAGGCGGCUUUUUAAGUCGGAUGUGAAAUCCCUGAGCUUAACUUAGGAAUUGCAUUCGAUACUGGGAAGCUAGAGUAUGGGAGAGGAUGGUAGAAUUCCAGGUGUAGCGGUGAAAUGCGUAGAGAUCUGGAGGAAUACCGAUGGCGAAAGCAGCCAUCUGGCCUAAUACUGACGCUGAGGUACGAAAGCAUGGGGAGCAAACAGGAUUAGAUACCCUGUAGUCCAUGCCGUAAACGAUGUCUACUAGCCGUUGGGGCCUUUGAGGCUUUAGUGCGCAGCUAACGCGAUAAGUAGACCGCCUGGGGAGUACGGUCGCAAGACUAAAACUCAAA
rnacentral:rRNA from 1 species